GAUGAACGCUGGCGGCGUGCCUAACACAUGCAAGUCGAGCGAAGCGCCUUACUUGAUUUCUUCGGGAUGAAAGUAUUGUGACUGAGCGGCGGACGGGUGAGUAACGCGUGAGGAACCUGCCUCGGAGUGGGGAAUAACAGCCCGAAAGGGUUGCUAAUACCGCAUGAUGCAGCUGGGUCGCAUGACCCUGGCUGCCAAAGAUUUAUCGCUCUGAGAUGGCCUCGCGUCUGAUUAGCUAGUAGGCGGGGUAACGGCCCACCUAGGCGACGAUCAGUAGCCGGACUCAGAGGUUGACCGGCCACAUUGGGACUGAGACACGGCCCAG
rnacentral:rRNA from 1 species